rnacentral:rRNA from 1 species
AACGAACGCUGGCGGCAUGCCUAACACAUGCAAGUCGAACGAGACCUUCGGGUCUAGUGGCGCACGGGUGCGUAACGCGCGGGAACCUGCCCUUAGGUUCGGAAUAACUCAGAGAAAUUUGAGCUAACACCGGAUAAUGUCUUCGGACCAAAGAUUUAUCGCCUUUGGAUGGGCCCGCGUAGGAUUAGCUUGUUGGUGGGGUAAUGGCCUACCAAGGCGACGAUCCUUAGCUGGUCUGAGAGGAUGAUCAGCCACACUGGGACUGAGACACGGCCCAGACUCCUACGGGAGGCAGCAGUGGGGAAUAUUGGACAAUGGGCGAAGGCCUGAUCCAGCACUGCCGCGAGAGUGAUGAAGGCCUUAGGGAUGUAAAGCUCUUUUACCAGGGAUGAUAAUGACGGUACCUGGAGAAUAAGCGCCGGCUAACUCCGUG